rnacentral:lncRNA from 1 species
CUUUCCCUGGUAAAGUCUAUCAACGGAUUUGCAAUUGAGUUGCUUUUAUACAGAAAAGACAACACAAGCAAAAUAUUACGAACCAGAGGCGCCCUGAUAUAGCGGAUAGAAAACAGGCUGCUUUGCUUCUGACACUUCCAUUGGUAUUUCUACUUUGAAGCCAGAGAAAUGAAAAUCAGAAAACUACAACAAAAAGAACAGGCUACUCCAUGCAAGAAAUGGUCUGGAAAAGAAUCGGAUAUUUGACUAUGGAGCUACUCUAAGGUCCCUUUCAAAGGACUCUAAGAUGCUCUUGCCUCCUCAGCCUCAAGGUAACUCCACCACACAGAGUAUUUGACUCCUGGGGGUUGGGGGUGGGGGUAGAAGGAAGGUGGAGUGAGGGCGGGGUUUCUU